AUUGAACGCUGGCGGCAGGCCUAACACAUGCAAGUCGAACGGUAACAGGAAACAGCUUGCUGUUUCGCUACCGGGUGGCGGAGGGGUGGGUAAUGUCUGGGAAACUGCCUGAUGGGGGGGGAUAACUCCUGGAAACGGUACCUAAUCCCGCAUAACGUCGCAAGCCCAAAGAGGGGGCCCUUCGGGCCUCUUGCCAUCGGAUGUGCCCAGAUGGGAUUAGCUAGUAGGUGGGGUAACGGCUCACCUAGGCGACGAUCCCUAGCUGGUCUGAGAGGAUGACCAGCCACACUGGAACUGAGACACGGUCCAGACUCCUACGGGAGGCAGCAGUGGGGAAUAUUGCACAAUGGGCGCAAGCCUGAUGCAGCCAUGCCGCGUGUAUGAAGAAGGCCUUCGGGUUGUAAAGUACUUUCAGCGGGGAGGAAGGGAGUAAAGUUAAUACCUUUACUCAUUGACGUUACCCGCAGAAGAAGCACCGGCUAACUCCGUG
rnacentral:rRNA from 1 species